ACGGAAGGCAGCAGUGGGGGAUAUUGCACAAUGGGGGAAACCCUGAUGCAGCGACGCCGCGUGAGUGAAGAAGUAUUUCGGUAUGUAAAGCUCUAUCAGCAGGGAAGAAAAUGACAGUACCUGACUAAGAAGCCCCGGCUAACUACGUGCCAGCAGCCGCGGUAAUACGUAGGGGGCAAGCGUUAUCCGGAUUUACUGGGUGUAAAGGGAGCGCAGACGGCAAUGCAAGUCUGGAGUGAAAUCCCGCGGCUCAACUGCGGAACUGCUCUGGAAACUGUAUAGCUAGAGUGUCGGAGAGGUGAGUGGAAUUCCCAGUGUAGCGGUGAAAUGCGUAGAUAUUGGGAGGAACACCGGUGGCGAAGGCGGCUCACUGGACGAUAACUGACGUUGAGGCUCGAAAGCGUGGGGAGCAAACAGGAUUAGAUACCCUGGUA
rnacentral:rRNA from 1 species